rnacentral:rRNA from 1 species
CCUACGGGUGGCAGCAGUGAGGAAUAUUGGUCAAUGGGCGGGAGCCUGAACCAGCCAAGUCGCGUGAGGGAAGACGGUCCUACGGAUUGUAAACCUCUUUUGCCGGGGAGCAACGGGGUCCUUGCGAGGGCCCGAUGAGAGUACCCGGAGAAAAAGCAUCGGCUAACUCCGUGCCAGCAGCCGCGGUAAUACGGAGGAUGCGAGCGUUAUCCGGAUUUACUGGGUGUAAAGGGCGUGUAGGCGGGACUGCAAGUCAGAUGUGAAAACCACGGGCUCAACCUGUGGCCUGCAUUUGAAACUGUAGUUCUUGAGUACUGGAGAGGCAGACGGAAUUCCUAGUGUAGCGGUGAAAUGCGUAGAUAUUAGGAGGAACACCAGUGGCGAAGGCGGUCUGCUGGACAGCAACUGACGCUGAGGCGCGAAAGCGUGGGGAGCAAACAGGAUUAGAUACCCCAGUAGUC